CCUUUUUUGAGUUCUGUUAAUUCCAGGCUAAGUUAAGGUGUUAUAAUUCAAAGACCAAAAUGAUGGUUUUCUCUUUCAGUUGUAUGGAGAUGUCUGUUGUGUGACAGCAUAUCAAGUCUGCUUGAUUCUUCAGACAAUGUGAUGAUUAUUUACAUUAAGUCUAUGGUUGAAGAUGAUGACAAGGAAGUGGUUGCUCAAGCAUGCACUAGUUUGGCUGAUAUCAUCAUAGAUUAUGGUUUUGCAACUCUUGAGCCUUACUUGGCACAACUUGUUGAUGCA
rnacentral:sRNA from 1 species